AUUGAACGCUGGCGGCAGGCCUAACACAUGCAAGUCGAACGGUAGCACAGAGAGCUUGCUCUCGGGUGACGAGUGGCGGACGGGUGAGUAACGUCUGGGAAACUGCCCGAUGGAGGGGGAUAACUACUGGAAACGGUAGCUAAUACCGCAUAACGUCGCAAGACCAAAGUGGGGGACCUUCGGGCCUCACACCAUCGGAUGUGCCCAGAUGGGAUUAGCUAGUAGGUGGGGUAAUGGCUCACCUAGGCGACGAUCCCUAGCUGGUCUGAGAGGAGGACCAGCCACACUGGAACUGAGACACGGGCCAGACUCCUACGGGAGGCAGCAGUGGGGAAUAUUGCACAAUGGGCGCAAGCCUGAUGCAGCCAUGCCGCGUGUAUGAAGAAGGCCUUCGGGUUGUAAAGUACUUUCAGCGGGGAGGAAGGCGGUGAAGUUAAUAACUUCACCGAUUGACGUUACCCGCAGAAGAAGCACCGGCUAACUCCGUGCCAGCCGCCGCGGUAA
rnacentral:rRNA from 1 species